AAGUCGUAACAAGGUUUCCGUAGGUGAACCUGCGGAAGGAUCAUUAAAGAGUAGGGACGUUCGCGUUCCGGGGGCUUCGGCCCCGUCCUCUUCACCCCGUGUUUACCUUACCACAUUCGUUGCUUUGGCACGGCCUUGGGGUCGUGCUUCAUGCCGCCCGGGGGGGCAUGUUCCCCCGGGGGGGCGAGGCGCCUGCCGAAAGCCCAUUUAACUUCUUGAAUCAACCUAUGUUGUCAUGAGUGAAAAACAAAAAUCAAGCAAAAA
rnacentral:misc_RNA from 1 species